rnacentral:rRNA from 1 species
UAGGGAAUUUUCGUCAAUGGGGGGAACCCGGGACGAGCAAUGCCGCGUGUGUGAAGAAGGUCUUCGGAUCGUAAAGCACUGUUGUAAGUGAAGAAUGCCAUAUAGAGGAAAUGCUAUGUGGGUGACGGUAGCUUACCAGAAAGCCACGGCUAACUACGUGCCAGCAGCCGCGGUAAUACGUAGGUGGCAAGCGUUAUCCGGAAUCAUUGGGCGUAAAGGGUGCGUAGGUGGCACGAUAAGUCUGAAGUAAAAGGCAACAGCUCAACUGUUGUAUGCUUUGGAAACUGUCGAGCUAGAGUGCAGAAGAGGGCGAUGGAAUUCCAUGUGUAGCGGUAAAAUGCGUAGAUAUAUGGAGGAACACCAGUGGCGAAGGCGGUCGCCUGGUCUGUAACUGACACUGAUGCACGAAAGCGUGGGGAGCAAAUAGGAUUAGAUACC